rnacentral:rRNA from 1 species
UGGGGAAUAUUGGGCAAUGGGACGAAAGUCUGACCCAGCGACGCCGCGUGAGGGAAGAAGGUCUUCGGAUUGUAAACCUCUGUUGACAGGGAAGAAGUAAGUGACGGUACCUGUCGAGGAAGCCACGGCUAACUACGUGCCAGCAGCCGCGGUAAUACGUAGGUGGCAAGCGUUGUCCGGAUUUACUGGGUGUAAAGGGCGUGUAGGCGGGAGAGCAAGUCAGAAGUGAAAUCUAUGGGCUUAACCCAUAAACUGCUUUUGAAACUGUUCUUCUUGAGUAUCGGAGAGGCAGGCGGAAUUCCUAGUGUAGCGGUGAAAUGCGUAGAUAUUAGGAGGAACACCAGUGGCGAAGGCGGCCUGCUGGACGACAACUGACGCUGAGGCGCGAAAGCGU